rnacentral:rRNA from 1 species
GGGUUGUGAGGUUAAGCGACUAAGCGUACACGGUGGAUGCCCUGGCAGUCAGAGGCGAUGAAGGACGUGCUAAUCUGCGAAAAGCGUCGGUAAGGUGAUAUGAACCGUUAUAACCGGCGAUGUCCGAAUGGGGAAACCCAGUGUGAUUCGUCACACUAUCGUUAACUGAAUACAUAGGUUAACGAGGCGAACCGGGGGAACUGAAACAUCUAAGUACCCCGAGGAAAAGAAAUCAACCGAGAUUCCCCCAGUAGCGGCGAGCGAACGGGGAGCAGCCCAGAGUCUGAAUCAGCUUGUGUGUUAGUGGAACGGUCUGGAAAGUCCGACGGUACAGGGUGAUAGUCCCGUACACCAAAAUGCACAGGCUGUGAACUCGAAGAGUAGGGCGGGACACGUGGUAUCCUGUCUGAAUAUGGGGGGACCAUCCUCCAAGGCUAAAUACUCCUGACUGACCGAUAGUGAACCAGUACCGUGAGGGAAAGGCGAAAAGAACCCCGGCGAGGGGAGUGAAAAAGAACCUGAAACCGUGUACGUACAAGCAGUGGGAGCACCUUCGGGUGUGACUGCGUACCUUUUGUAUAAUGGGUCAGCGACUUAUAUUCUGUAGCAAGGUUAACCGUAUAGGGGAGCCGCAGGGAAACCGAGUCUUAACUGGGCGUUAAGUUGCAGGGUAUAGACCCGAAACCCGGUGAUCUAGCCAUGGGCAGGUUGAAGGUUGGGUAACACUAACUGGAGGACCGAACCGACUAAUGUUGAAAAAUUAGCGGAUGACUUGUGGCUGGGGGUGAAAGGCCAAUCAAACCGGGAGAUAGCUGGUUCUCCCCGAAAGCUAUUUAGGUAGCGCCUCGUGAACUCAUCUUCGGGGGUAGAGCACUGUUUCGGCUAGGGGGUCAUCCCGACUUACCAACCCGAUGCAAACUACGAAUACCGAAGAAUGUUAUCACGGGAGACACACGGCGGGUGCUAACGUCCGUCGUGAAGAGGGAAACAACCCAGACCGCCAGCUAAGGUCCCAAAGUCAUGGUUAAGUGGGAAACGAUGUGGGAAGGCACAGACAGCCAGGAUGUUGGCUUAGAAGCAGCCAUCAUUUAAAGAAAGCGUAAUAGCUCACUGGUCGAGUCGGCCUGCGCGGAAGAUGUAACGGGGCUAAACCAUGCACCGAAGCUGCGGCAGCGACACUAUGUGUUGUUGGGUAGGGGAGCGUUCUGUAAGCCUGCGAAGGUGACCUGUGAGGGUUGCUGGAGGUAUCAGAAGUGCGAAUGCUGACAUAAGUAACGAUAAAGCGGGUGAAAAGCCCGCUCGCCGGAAGACCAAGGGUUCCUGUCCAACGUUAAUCGGGGCAGGGUGAGUCGACCCCUAAGGCGAGGCCGAAAGGCGUAGUCGAUGGGAAACAGGUUAAUAUUCCUGUACUUGGUGUUACUGCGAAGGGGGGACGGAGAAGGCUAUGUUAGCCGGGCGACGGUUGUCCCGGUUUAAGCAUGUAGGCUGAUUAUCCAGGCAAAUCCGGAUAAUCAAGGCUGAGGUGUGAUGACGAGGCACUACGGUGCUGAAGUAACAAAUGCCCUGCUUCCAGGAAAAGCCUCUAAGCAUCAGGUAACAUCAAAUCGUACCCCAAACCGACACAGGUGGUCAGGUAGAGAAUACCAAGGCGCUUGAGAGAACUCGGGUGAAGGAACUAGGCAAAAUGGUGCCGUAACUUCGGGAGAAGGCACGCUGGUGUGUAGGUGAAGUCCCUGCGGAUGGAGCUGAGACCAGUCGAAGAUACCAGCUGGCUGCAACUGUUUAUUAAAAACACAGCACUGUGCAAACACGAAAGUGGACGUAUACGGUGUGACGCCUGCCCGGUGCCGGAAGGUUAAUUGAUGGGGUUAUCCGUAAGGAGAAGCUCUUGAUCGAAGCCCCGGUAAACGGCGGCCGUAACUAUAACGGUCCUAAGGUAGCGAAAUUCCUUGUCGGGUAAGUUCCGACCUGCACGAAUGGCGUAAUGAUGGCCAGGCUGUCUCCACCCGAGACUCAGUGAAAUUGAACUCGCUGUGAAGAUGCAGUGUACCCGCGGCAAGACGGAAAGACCCCGUGAACCUUUACUAUAGCUUGACACUGAACAUUGAGCCUUGAUGUGUAGGAUAGGUGGGAGGCUUUGAAGCGUGGACGCCAGUCUGCGUGGAGCCAACCUUGAAAUACCACCCUUUAAUGUUUGAUGUUCUAACGUUGGCCCCUUACCGGGGUUGCGGACAGUGUCUGGUGGGUAGUUUGACUGGGGCGGUCUCCUCCCAAAGCGUAACGGAGGAGCACGAAGGUUAGCUAAUCCUGGUCGGACAUCAGGAGGUUAGUGCAAUGGCAUAAGCUAGCUUGACUGCGAGCGUGACGGCGCGAGCAGGUGCGAAAGCAGGUCAUAGUGAUCCGGUGGUUCUGAAUGGAAGGGCCAUCGCUCAACGGAUAAAAGGUACUCCGGGGAUAACAGGCUGAUACCGCCCAAGAGUUCAUAUCGACGGCGGUGUUUGGCACCUCGAUGUCGGCUCAUCACAUCCUGGGGCUGAAGUAGGUCCCAAGGGUAUGGCUGUUCGCCAUUUAAAGUGGUACGCGAGCUGGGUUUAGAACGUCGUGAGACAGUUCGGUCCCUAUCUGCCGUGGGCGCUGGAGAAUUGAGGGGGGCUGCUCCUAGUACGAGAGGACCGGAGUGGACGCAUCACUGGUGUUCGGGUUGUCAUGCCAAUGGCACUGCCCGGUAGCUAAAUGCGGAAGAGAUAAGUGCUGAAAGCAUCUAAGCACGAAACUUGCCCCGAGAUGAGUUCUCCCUGAGACUUUAAGUCUCCUGAAGGAACGUUAAAGACGAUGACGUUGAUAGGCCGGGUGUGUAAGCGCAGCGAUGCGUUGAGCUAACCGGUACUAAUGAACCGUGAGGCUUAACCUUACAACGCCGAAG